rnacentral:piRNA from 1 species
CCUGAGGCUUAUGCUCCUAGUUGCCUGC